rnacentral:rRNA from 1 species
UGGGGAAUAUUGCACAAUGGGCGCAAGCCUGAUGCAGCCAUGCCGCGUGUAUGAAGAAGGCCUUCGGGUUGUAAAGCACUUUCAGUCGUGAGGAAGGUAGUGUAGUUAAUAGCUGCAUCAUUUGACGUUAGCGACAGAAGAAGCACCGGCUAACUCCGUGCCAGCAGCCGCGGUAAUACGGAGGGUGCGAGCGUUAAUCGGAAUUACUGGGCGUAAAGCGCAUGCAGGUGGUUUGUUAAGUCAGAUGUGAAAGCCCCGGGCUCAACCUCGGAAUAGCAUUUGAAACUGGCAGACUAGAGUACUGUAGAGGGGGUAGGAAUUUCAGGUGUAGCGGUGAAAUGCGUAGAGAUCUGAAGGAAUACCGGUGGCGAAGGCGGCCCCCUGGACAGAUACUGACACUCAGAUGCGAAAGCGUGGGGAGGCAAACAGGAUUAGAUACCCUGGUAG